rnacentral:rRNA from 1 species
GAUGAACGCUGGCGGCGUGCCUAAUACAUGCAAGUCGAGCGAACAGACGAGGAGCUUGCUCCUCUGACGUUAGCGGCGGACGGGUGAGUAACACGUGGAUAACCUACCUAUAAGACUGGGAUAACUUCGGGAAACCGGAGCUAAUACCGGAUAAUAAAUUGAACCGCAUGGUUCAAUAGUGAAAGACGGUUUUGCUGUCACUUAUAGAUGGAUCCGCGCCGCAUUAGCUAGUUGGUAAGGUAACGGCUUACCAAGGCAACGAUGCGUAGCCGACCUGAGAGGGUGAUCGGCCACACUGGAACUGAGACACGGUCCAGACUCCUACGGGAGGCAGCAGUAGAGAAUCUUCCGCAAUGGGCGAAAGGCUGACGGAGCAACGCCGCGUGAGUGAUGAAGGUCUUCGGAUCGUAAAACUCUGUUAUUAGGGAAGAACAAAUGUGUAAGUAACUAUGCACGUCUUGACGGUACCUGAUCAGAAAGCCACGGCUAACUACGUG